rnacentral:lncRNA from 1 species
CCCAAGUGGUGUAUCUCUCAACAUAACAAGCAUAUCUGCAUUCCUAAACUCCUCAACGAAAGCUCCAAACUUUGUGGUCGAACUCAUACAGAGUAGUCCCACGUCGCUUGUUCUCAUUCUCGACCUCCCACAUCGGAAAGACCUUGUUCUUAACCCGGACUAUCUCAAGGAAUAUUACCAAGACACCGCUCUUGAUUCUCAUCGUCAAUCUCUCCUUAAGCUUCCUGAAAUCACA